AGCCAGUCUUCCCAAGGUGAAAUCCUAACUUUGCCACUUACUAGCCAUGUGAACUUGGGCAAGUGACCUAAUCCUCUGCAUUUCAUCUCUAAAUUGGGGAGAAUAGAAGCAUCUACUUCAUGUAGUAGCCAGGAUUAGAAGAGAUGGGGCCACUUGAGGGAAAAGACCUACCCAAGGGCACAUAAUCUGUACAUGAGAGAGAGCCAGAUGUAACAGACUGAGUACUGGACUUGGGGUUAAACAGACUGUGAAUCUUUCCACCCCAUUGGCAAGUUACCUUGGACAAGUUACUUUAAUCUCCCUGAGCCUCAAUCUGCUCAUCUUUAAGAUGGAAGUCUUAAUAAUCUCCUCAUAGGGGAUUAAACAAGAACAUGAGCACACCUUUUCUAACACAGUGUCUGAGAUGAGUAGAUGUUCAAAAUAGGGGUUCAUUUGCUUCUUUGCUCUUUGGCUCCCACCUUUUUUUCAACUGCCCCAAAUCUCUUUCUGCUCACCUUUUCUUGUUCCAUGGGGUCUUUACACCACCGUGUUAGCAUGUGUUUCUGCUACAUGGUUACUUCUUUUCUAGAAGCAAGUGAGUGAGGGAGGGCCCAGUGGGCAGCUCAGAACUCAGUAAUAAAACCACACAGAAUCCAUCUCAAA
rnacentral:lncRNA from 1 species